UACGUAGGUGGCGAGCGUUGUCCGGAUUUAUUGGGCGUAAAGCGCGCGCAGGCGGUGCGGUAAGUCCGUCGUGAAAUCUCCCGGCUCAACUGGGAGGGUGCGGUGGAGACUGCCGGACUGGAGGCACUCAGAGGCCGGUGGAAUUCCCGGUGUAGUGGUGAAAUGCGUAGAGAUCGGGAGGAACACCAGUGGCGAAGGCGGCCGGCUGGGGGUGACCUGACGCUGAGGCGCGAAAGCGUGGGGAGCGAACAGG
rnacentral:rRNA from 1 species